rnacentral:lncRNA from 1 species
AGAUAUGUGAUAAAUCGUCUACAGAGAUAUCACAAGACGGUUAGACGUGGAGAUAUUUGCAAGAUAAAUUAGAGAAUGUGGAGAAGUUCUUGAAGAUGCAACAACAACAAGAGGGACUAUGCCAAGUUCAACAAGAGCAAGGAUUUCAACCAAGUCCUUAAUUCACAAACCAAGGAAAAUCUAAUAUUCAACCACCUCCUCAAGAUAAUGAAUUUAAUUCCAUGUUGAAACAAGUUUUAGAAGGCCAAACUAAGGAUUAUAUGGAUUUUG